rnacentral:tmRNA from 1 species
GGGGAUGCCAGGCAUCGACAUAUAAGUUCUCUUGUUUGUGCGCAAUCGAGUAUUCUGAAACCUCGUAAAACUUUCAGGAAACCUAAGUGCUAACGCACGAAAAGCAGCCGUUUCUCCAUACUUUGGAGUAGACGCGUUUGCAUUUGCUACAGUCCGAGCCUAACUUCGGUUACUCAGGCCUAGCAACGCUCUACUUCUCUUUGUUCGCUGGAGGAGCUAGGGUGAUAUACCCGCGAAAUAGGUUAUUGAACCUCUUCACUCAAUUACCAAAACCAUAGAAGAUCGAUGUAUAGACGUUUUGGAUGUUUCCAAGUCUAUAUGUCUAAAGUACAUACGCACUCGCCUCACGGCGACGCCUCUGUGUACAAGAAAUAUUCUACAUUGCGUAGACUCACUCAAGAUCCUUACAUGCACGUGGGUUCGACUCCCACCAUCUCCACAG